UGACAGAUUGAGAGCUCUUUCUUGAUUCUAUGGGGGGUGGUGCAUGGCCGUUCUUAGUUGGUGGAGAGAUUUGUCUGGUUAAUUCCGUUAACGAACGAGACCUUAACCUGCUAAAUAGUCCGCGUAACCUCUGUGUUGCGUGCUUGGCUUCUUAGAGGGACUAUCGGUAUCCAACCGAUGGAAGUUUGAGGCAAUAACAGGUCUGUGAUGCCCUUAGAUGUUCUGAACCGCACGCGUGUUACACUGAUGCAUUCAACGAGCUAUUAACCUUGGCCGAGAGGCCUGGGAAAUCUUGGAACGUGCAUCGUGAUAGGGAUUGAUUAUUGUAAUUUUUAAUCAUGAACGAGGAAUUCCUAGUAAACGCAGAUCAUCAA
rnacentral:rRNA from 1 species